rnacentral:rRNA from 1 species
CCUACGGGAGGCAGCAGUGAGGAAUAUUGCGCAAUGGAGGCAACUCUGACGCAGCCAUGCCGCGUGCAGGAAGAAGGCGCUACGCGUUGUAAACUGCUUUUAACCGGGAAGAAACCCCUCUACGUGUGGAGGGUUGACGGUACCGGAGGAAUAAGCACCGGCUAACUUCGUGCCAGCAGCCGCGGUAAUACGAAGGGUGCAAGCGUUAUCCGGAUUCAUUGGGUUUAAAGGGUGCGUAGGUGGGGCGUUAAGUCAGUGGUGAAAUCCUGCAGCUCAACUGUAGACUUGCCAUUGAUACUGGCGUUCUUGAGUGCGCUUGAAGUAGGCGGAAUGUGCCGUGUAGCGGUGAAAUGCUUAGAUAUGGCACAGAACACCAAUUGCGAAGGCAGCUUACUAAGGCGAUACUGACACUGAGGCACGAAAGCGUGGGGAUCGAACAGGAUUAGAUACCCUGGUAGUCCACGCCGUAAACGAUGAUCACUCGAGAUUGGCGAUAUACGGUCAGUCUCCUAGCGAAAGCGUUAAGUGAUCCACCUGGGGAGUACGAUCGCAAGAUUGAAACUCAAAUGAAUUGACGG